rnacentral:rRNA from 1 species
CCGCCGCGCGCGGCGGGCUACGGGAGGCAGCAGUGGGGAAUAUUGCACAAUGGGCGCAAGCCUGAUGCAGCCAUGCCGCGUGUAUGAAGAAGGCCUUCGGGUUGUAAAGUACUUUCAGCGAGGAGGAAGGCGUUAAGGUUAAUAACCUUAGUGAUUGACGUUACUCGCAGAAGAAGCACCGGCUAACUCCGUGCCAGCAGCCGCGGUAAUA